rnacentral:rRNA from 1 species
AGCCGCGUGUGUAAGAAGGCCUUAUGGUUGUAAAGCACUUAAGCGAGGAGGAGGCUACUUAGUUAAUACCUAGAGAUAGUGGACGUUACUCGCAGAAUAAGCACCGGCUAACUCUGUGCCAGCAGCCGCGGUAAUACAGAGGGUGCAAGCGUUAAUCGGAUUUACUGGGCGUAAAGCGCGCGUAGGCGGCUAAUUAAGUCAAAUGUGAAAUCCCCGAGCUUAACUUGGGAAUUGCAUUCGAUACUGGUUAGCUAGAGUGUGGGAGAGGAUGGUAGAAUUCCAGGUGUAGCGGUGAAAUGCGUAGAGAUCUGGAGGAAUACCGAUGGCGAGGGCAGCCAUCUGGCCUAACACUGACGCUGAGGUGCGAAAGCAUGGGGAGCAAACAGGAUUAGAUACCCUGGUAGUCCAUGCCGUAAACGAUGUCUACUAGCCGUUGGGGCCUUUGAGGCUUUAGUGGCGCAGCUAACGCGAUAAGUAGACCGCCUGGGGAGUACGGUCGCAAGACUAAAACUCAAAUGAAUUGACGGGGGCCCGCACAAGCGGUGGAGCAUGUGGUUUAAUUCGAUGCAACGCGAAGAACCUUACCUGGCCUUGACAUAGUAAGAACUUUCCAGAGAUGGAUUGGUGCCUUCGGGAACUUACCUACAGGUGCUUGCUGGUUGUCGUCACUUCGUGUCGUGAGAUGUGGGGUAAGUCCCGCAGGAGGGANACUUUUCUUAUUGCCGGGGUAAGUCGGACUUAGGGUUGGCCUGCAAUGGGAGGGGGGAACCAUUCAGGGCUUGGGGGGGUAC